AGAACGAACGCUGGCGGCGUGGAUAAGACAUGCAAGUCGAACGGGAUAUCUUUUGUAGCAAUACAGGAGGUGUUCAGUGGCGUAAGGGUGCGUAACACGUGGGCAAUCUGCCAAUUGGAAGUGGGGGAUAGCUCGCCGAAAGGCGAAUUAAUACCGCAGUGGUUAAGAGGGAAUCUCGUCUGACACCAAGCCGGGGACCUAGCAAUACGGCCUGGCCGUCUUCUUGAUGACGCCCGCGGCCUAUCAGUCGUUGUUAGGUGAGGGUUAACCGCUCACCGAAGGCGAUGGACGGUAGCGUGGUCUGAGACGGACGACACGCCACACGUGGAACUGACGACC
rnacentral:rRNA from 1 species